GUCCCGGCCCUAAACGGUGCGCAUUUGCUGUGAGCGGAAUCGACCCCGCUCGUGGCGGAGCUAACGCGUUAAAUGCGCCGCCUGGGGAGUACGGCCGCAAGGUUAAACUCAAAGAAUUGACGGGGCCUGCACAAGCGGUGGAGUAUGUGGCUUAAUUCGAUGCAACGCGAAGAACCUUACCUGGCCUUGACAUGUAGGUAGUAGGAGCCUGAAAGGGUAACGAUUCCGCAAGGAAAGCCUGCACAGGUGCUGCAUGGCUGUCGU
rnacentral:rRNA from 1 species